rfam:Candidatus Synechococcus spongiarum isolate 1 genome assembly, contig: NODE_196793_length_16576_cov_12
GCCGGCAUAGCUCAGUGGCAGAGCAGCGCUUUUGUAAAGCGAAGGUCGUCGGUUCAAAUCCGUCUGCCGGCU